CCUACGGGCGGCAGCAGUGAGGAAUAUUCGGCAAUGGACGCAAGUCUGACCCAGCCAUGCCGCGUGCAGGAAGACGGCUCUAUGAGUUUUAAGCUGCGUUUGUACGAGGGUAAACGCAGAUACGCGUAUCUGUCUGAAAGUAUCGUACGAAUAAGGAUCGGCUAACGCCGUGCCAGCACCCGCGGUAAUACGGAGGAUUCCAGCGUUAUCCGGAUUUAUUGGGUUUAAAGGUUGCGUAGGCGGUCGGAUAAGUUAGAGGUGAAAUGCCGAGGCUCAACUUCGGAAUUGCCUCUGAUACUGUUCGGCUAGAGAGUAGUUGCGGUAGGCGGAAUGUAUGGUGUAGCGGUGAAAUGCGUAGAGAUCAUACAGAACACCGAUUGCGAAGGCAGCUCAC
rnacentral:rRNA from 1 species